GGCCCAAAGGGGAAGGAUUAGACCUAAUCUGCCCUAACCCUAACCUUGUGCUCUUUUUCGUAAAACAGAAACCCUUGUGCCUCCUUGAGCUGCUGUUGUCACCUCUGCCAGGGUUUGGAAUCACCAUAGCCAAGCGAGCUCAAUCUCGUUCUUCCACUCCGCUUUUAAGCUCUCAAAGUUACUCCUUGAACUACUGCUUUCCACCGUUCGAGUAUCGGAGCUCUAGCUAAACAUUUCCCAGCGAUGAUCAUCAACUUGUUGAUGUGAGCAGAUGCGAGGAACACCCGUGGGCAACAGGGAGGUGAUGGUUCCACUGCAUAGUCUCCAUGGGCUGGACUUUAAUUUCUUAAUGGGUUUUCUUUAGGGCUAUGGCCCAUGUAUUGUUUUAUGCUUUAAUACUCUACCUUCCUCUGUUAGACUUUCCAUCUGGUUCUGUUGGCAUCUUGGUGUGCCUACUUUUGUAGGGAUUGUGUUAAGGACCCUAGGACUGCGUUGUUGUACUAUGUGUGU